rnacentral:ncRNA from 2 species
UUCGUCUCACGUAACUGGCGAAUGCCGGGCGCGCAGCUAGUCGCGGUUCGGCUAAAAGGUGGAAAUCCACCGGGGAACGUGAGAUAUCAACAGCCGUUCGCCUGGGCAGCCCAA